rnacentral:misc_RNA from 1 species
UCGUGCUCGGCUCCGUAGGUCAGGCAUCGUACGAUGGAUGUCGACGGUGGUGACGGUGGUGGUACCUUGGGUCCAUUAAGUUGCAGAUAUUCAUGAAGACUCUAGAAUCAUCGGAUGAAAUUGGAUCAAAGAGUCAUAAUAGUCAUAAUAGAUAAACACAGAAAUGAACAGACAGUUGUAGAGAGAGAAAUUUAGGGUUUGGUGAGUGGGAAUUUGGAGAUCUGUGGAGGGAAAUGAAAAGGGAUUGUAUUAGUA